UGCAGUUUAAAAAGCAAACAAACAGAGGAUCAAGGUUUUUCACUCUCUCUAAAAUCCUUCAAAUCUGCUAACAUGAUUGUCGCAGAUACUACUACCAUUAUUGUUGCAAAAGCAAUAGCUAUCAGUGGAGUUGCGACAUGAUCAUUAGCUGUUGUACAAGUUUUUCAACAAUGGUGACACGAUCAUUAGCUGUUGUACAAGUUUUUCAACAAUGGUGACAUGAUCCCCGAGAAGAGUUGAAAAGCAAGAGAUUGAAAUAUUGAAAAAAUGAAAAGAACCAUCAAAAGAAGAGAAAAGGAGAAAGCAACUUUCCAGUAGAGCUUUGUGCCUUUGUAUUGUGGUCCUUUUACUUGCGCUAAACCUUUUCUUUCAUCAUCUAUAUAAUGCUCAACAGGUUGAGAGCGAUUAUUUCCACUCCAAAGUGUUGGGUCUACUCUUUUACUCACCUUACUCCUCUUUCUCCUUCUUAGGCAACAGAAAUGCCGUGUUUUCAUCUUCCAAUUCUGUUUGCAGGUGACAAGUUAAACAAAAGUGCCAUCUCUCCUGUGAAGAAUCAGCUACUGUGCUAUAUGUUCACGCCAUUUUGUUCGCGACGGUGAUGAUUUCACACCUGUUGAAAAGAGUAGAGUUCUUAGUGUAUCAGGCACUGGCUUUGCACAUUGCAGAAGGUGGAAGAUGCCUUCAUAAGCUGCCAGUAAACAUCAAGAGAUGGGAGCCUCUGAUAUUACCAGAACUAAGCAUGCUGAAGUCAUAUGAGCCGGUGCGGCUGCCCUCAAGCCUUCAUAAAUGAAACCGACGAAUACAAGGGGGGGACAUUUAGCCUAAACCCCAGAUUACAAUCUGCAACUAGUAGUUAAGAGUGUGCUUAUUAGCUCUAGCUAGCAUUUCAUAUGGCAUCGUUCUCGGAUGAGAAACGAGUAGAACCUAGAUUUAAGUCUUAUUGUAAGCAAAAUAAAAGUGAAGUUUGUAUUCGAAUGGGUUAAAACCCCGAAAUUCCUUCUCCUUGCAAUUAAUUAACUAUGAACUAGCUAGCUGAAGAACUUGAAGUAGAUCCUCUCUCUCUAAACUGUAGAGAGAGAAAGUAGAUCUGAAAACAAACACCCCCCCCCCCCCCCCCAAAUCUUAAUCCGUCAGGAUUUAGAUUUAGAUCGAAGGCUUAAGAGUUGGGAGAGGUCCCUCCUUCAUCCCUUUUAGUAUCCUCAAAAAUUUACUUUUCUUGUCUCACCUCUGUGGUGUGUUUUGCUCCCUUUGUGGUUAUUUCUGUCUAGUUUAUUCUUGGCUAUGUCCAGAUCGGGAGGAUCUUGUUUCUCACCUUUUAUUUUCUUUCUUUCUCACUAUCAAUCCCAUAUCUUUCCAUAUCAAUGUUUACCCAACCCCAAAAUAGUUCUUCUCUUUUCACUCUCAACCUCCAUGAGAGCUAUUGUGGCUGGGAUGAUGAAGUGCAAGGCACUUAUCUAGUUGAGUAUGGGUGCUCACGCAUGGGUUCAUCACCCCCCAUUCUUCAUGGUUUUGGUUCUUGGUCCUCUUUUGGCAGCCAUGACUGUUUCUUGGUUUGGGUCUCGAUGGUGGACAGUAGGAAGUUGUUUUAAGGGAUCUUCUCCCCUGGGUUGUUGGAUUUCAUAUGGUUUGUGUUAUGGGAUUUGAUUGGCAUCGGUUAUUCAGUACGGAACUACUUGUUGUUCUGCUUCCAGUGACACAUCGGCAACUCUGCUUGGUCGGCGGCGCGAGGUGGUCUGCAAAAGCUAGAUUUUAUGUAUUGGAUUGGGCUUGUUCUUUGGGCCUAAGCUUUAGUUGUUUUACAAGGGUUAAUUUUCUUAUUUUCUGAGCCCAGUUGGAAAUUAAUUUUCCUUUGCUUUAGUGUU